GACGAACGCUGGCGGCGUGCUUAACACAUGCAAGUCGAACGGAAAGGCCCUGCUUUUGUGGGGUGCUCGAGUGGCGAACGGGUGAGUAACACGUGAGUAACCUGCCCUUGACUUUGGGAUAACUUCAGGAAACUGGGGCUAAUACCGGCUAGGAGCUCCUGCUGCAUGGUGGGGGUUGGAAAGUUUCGGCGGUUGGGGAUGGACUCGCGGCUUAUCAGCUUGUUGGUGGGGUAGUGGCUUACCAAGGCUUUGACGGGUAGCCGGCCUGAGAGGGUGACCGGCCACAUUGGGACUGAGAUACGGCCCAGACUCCUACGGGAGGCAGCAGUGGGGAAUAUUGCACAAUGGGCGGAAGCCUGAUGCAGCAACGCCGCGUGCGGGAUGACGGCCUUCGUGUUGUAAACCGCUUUCGCCUGUGACGAAGCGUGAGUGACGGUAAUGGGUAAAGAAGCACCGGCUAACUACGUG
rnacentral:rRNA from 1 species